rnacentral:rRNA from 1 species
GACGAACGCUGGCGGCGUGCCUAAUACAUGCAAGUAGAACGCACAGUUUAUACCGUAGCUUGCUACACCAUACACUGUGAGUUGCGAACGGGUGAGUAACGCGUAGGUAACCUGCCUGGUAGCGGGGGAUAACUAUUGGAAACGAUAGCUAAUACCGCAUAAUAUUAAUUAUUGCAUGAUAAUUGAUUGAAAGAUGCAAUUGCAUCACUACCAGAUGGACCUGCGUUGUAUUAGCUAGUAGGUGAGGUAACGGCUCACCUAGGCGACGAUACAUAGCCGACCUGAGAGGGUGAUCGGCCACACUGGGACUGAGACACGGCCCAGACGCCUACGGGAGGCAGCAGUAGGGAAUCUUCGGCAAUGGACGAAAGUCUGACCGAGCAACGCCGCGUGAGUGAAGAAGGUUUUCGGAUCGUAAAGCUCUGUUGUAAGAGAAGAACGGGUGUGAGAGUGGAAAGUUCACACUGUGACGGUAUCUUACCAGAAAGGGACGGCUAACUACGUG